CCUACGGGAGGCAGCAGUAGGGAAUAUUGCUCAAUGGGGGAAACCCUGAAGCAGCAACGCCGCGUGGAGGAUGAAGGUUUUCGGAUUGUAAACUCCUUUUGUUAGAGAAGAUAAUGACGGUAUCUAACGAAUAAGCACCGGCGAACUCCGUGCCAGCAGCCGCGGUAAUACGGAGGGUGCAAGCGUUACUCGGAAUCACUGGGCGUAAAGAGCGCGUAGGCGGGAUAGCAAGUCAGAUGUGAAAUCCUAGGGCUUAACCAUAGAACUGCAUUUGAAACUGUUAUUCUAGAGUAUGGGAGAGGUAGGUGGAAUUCUAGGUGUAGGGGUAAAAUCCGUAGAGAUCAAGAGGAAUACUCAUUGCGAAGGCGACCUGCUAGAACAUAACUGACGCUGAUGCGCGAAAGCGUGGGGAGCAAACAGGAUUAGAUACCCUUGUAGUC
rnacentral:rRNA from 1 species